GAGGAUCAAUGCACCAGCGGGAGCCUGCAUUUUAUCUGUGAUGUUUUUGAACAUAAGUAGGAUGCUUUUGGAACAUCUCCUUGGAAUGGUCGGGUCCAGCCCAUUCUGCCUCUGUUGAGCUACAGCAGGUGAAUCCGGGCAAAACGGGAAGAAAAUGGAGCAAGCAAAGGACGCCGGAGGACGGCGGCGCCUGGAAGCAUAAAACACAAACGGCACAGAAAUGAAAAGGGGUGCUCCACUAGAAUGUGGGUGCAAACUCACAGGAGUCGUUUCCCUGUGUCUUAAGGAGCUUAUCCUUUAGGAUACAGACGUUCACCACUGUCUUUCUUAGUCUUUCCCAUUGUUCAGGCUCACAUGAGGGUCAUUUUAUUCCAACC
rnacentral:lncRNA from 1 species